rnacentral:ribozyme from 1 species
UGCCCAGCAACUCCUAUCCCUACCUCCUCACGGUACCGGCCGGAAACUAUGAGCAACCUUAGGGAAGAUCGGGUAACCAACCCCGGUGGGAACUUUGGUCAUAGGCUGACAGGGAAGG